rnacentral:rRNA from 1 species
UACGAAGGGGGCUAGCGUUGCUCGGAAUCACUGGGCGUAAAGCGCACGUAGGUGGAUUGCCAAGUCGGGGGUGAAAUCCUGGAGCUCAACUCCAGAACUGCCUUCGAUACUGGCGAUCUUGGAGUCCGGGAGAGGUGGGUGGAACUGCGAGUGUAGAGGUGAAAUUCGUAGAUAUUCGCAAGAACACCAGUGGCGAAGGCGGCUCACUGGCCCGGUACUGACACUGAGGUGCGAAAGCGUGGGGAGCAAACAGG